AGGGUAAUAGGAACAGAAUUGCCUUUUGUUUCACUGAAACUCUGAAUUUAUAACCUGAUUUUUGUGGACCUGUGGGCUCAAAUGAGAGAGGUCCAAGUCCAAGAUUUAUUUAUUUAUUUAUUUAUUUUCGUUUUUCGUUUUUUUUUCUCAUUUUUUUUUUCGUUUUUUUUUCAAAACACGUGGGCUUCGCCUAGCGAGCAUGACAGCUC
rnacentral:lncRNA from 1 species